rnacentral:rRNA from 1 species
CCUACGGGAGGCAGCAGUGAGGAAUAUUGGUCAAUGGGCGCGAGCCUGAACCAGCCACGUAGCGUGAAGGAUGACUGCCCUACGGGUUGUAAACUUCUUUUAUAAAGGAAUAAAAUGAGGCACGUGUGCCUUUUUGUAUGUACUUUAUGAAUAAGGAUCGGCUAACUCCGUGCCAGCAGCCGCGGUAAUACGGAGGAUCCGAGCGUUAUACGGAAUUCUGGGGUUUAAAGGGAGCGUAGAUGGGUUGUUAAGUCAGUUGUGAAAGUUUGCGGCUCAACCGUAAAAUUGCAAUUGAUACUGGUAGUCUUGAGUACAGUUGAGGUAGGCGGAAUUCGUGGUGUAGCGGUGAAAUGCGUAGAUAUUACGAAGAACUCCGAUUGCGAAGGCAGCUUACUAAGCUGCAACUGACAUUGAUGCUCGAAAGUGUGGGUAUCAAACAGGAUUAGAUACCCUGGUAGUC